rnacentral:rRNA from 1 species
UACGGGGGGAGCAAGCGUUGUUCGGAUUUACUGGGCGUAAAGGGCGCGUAGGCGGUCAGCACAAGUCAGUCGUGAAAUCUCCGGGCUUAACUCGGAAAGGUCAACUGAUACUGUGCGACUAGAGUGCAGAAGGGGCAACUGGAAUUCUCGGUGUAGCGGUGAAAUGCGUAGAUAUCGAGAGGAACACCUGCGGCGAAGGCGGGUUGCUGGGCUGACACUGACGCUGAUGCGCGAAAGCCAGGGGAGCGAACGGG